UACGUAGGGGUGCAAGCGUUUGUCCGGAAUUAUUGGGCGUAAAGAGCUCGUAGGCGGUCUGUCGCGUCUGCUGUGAAAACUCAGGGCUUAACCCUGAGCUUGCAGUGGGUACGGGCAGACUAGAGUGCGGUAGGGGGAGACUGGAAUUCCUGGUGUAGCGGUGAAAUGCGCAGAUAUCUGGAGGAACACCGGUGGCGAAGGCGGCAUCCUGGACCGAGAUUGACGCUGAGGCGCGAAAGCCCAGGGGAGCAAACGGGG
rnacentral:rRNA from 1 species